UACGUAGGGGGCAAGCGUUGUCCGGAAUCAUUGGGCGUAAAGAGCGUGUAGGCGGCCCGGUAAGUCCGCUGUGAAAGUCCAGGGCUCAACCCUGGGAUGCCGGUGGAUACUGUCGGGCUCGAGUCCGGAAGAGGCGAGUGGAAUUCCUGGUGUAGCGGUGAAAUGCGCAGAUAUCAGGAGGAACACCAAUGGCGAAGGCAGCUCGCUGGGACGUGACUGACGCUGAGGCGCGAAAGCUAGGGGAGCGAACGGG
rnacentral:rRNA from 1 species